GCCGCGUGAGUGAUGAAGGCCUUCGGGUUGUAAAGCUCUUUCACCGGGGAAGAUAAUGACGGUACCCGGAGAAGAAGCCCCGGCUAACUCCGUGCCAGCAGCCGCGGUAAUUAUU
rnacentral:rRNA from 1 species